rnacentral:lncRNA from 1 species
GUAUCUCCAUACUGUAGACUCAAAAUAUAUCUACCCUAAGGAAGCGAUCAUACACCAACCUUCUAGAUCGAUCACCAUCCUCGUGAUGAUCCUAUGGUCAGGAGCUGUUUAUGAGUUAGCUAUGUAAAUUCAUGCAUUAAAUUUUCAACUCUUAAAAAUAUAAAUUUACAUUCCUACUAACUCAAAGGAUGUAUCACAGACACAAUGUA